CAGUAGCCGCGGUAAUACAGAGGGUGCGAGCGUUAAUCGGAUUUACUGGGCGUAAAGCGUGCGUAGGCGGCUUUUUAAGUCGGAUGUGAAAUCCCUGAGCUUAACUUAGGAAUUGCAUUCGAUACUGGGAAGCUAGAGUAUGGGAGAGGAUGGUAGAAUUCCAGGUGUAGCGGUGAAAUGCGUAGAGAUCUGGAGGAAUACCGAUGGCGAAGGCAGCCAUCUGGCCUAAUACUGACGCUGAGGUACGAAAGCAUGGGGAGCAAACAGGAUUAGAGACCCCAGUAGUCCCUGUUUCUUAUAC
rnacentral:rRNA from 1 species